CCUACGGGAGGCAGCAGUGAGGAAUAUUGGUCAAUGGGCGAACGCCUGAACCAGCCAAGUAGCGUGAGGGAAGACUGCCCUAUGGGUUGUAAACCUCUUUUGUCAGGGAGCAACGCCGGCUACGUGUAGCCGGACUGAGAGUACCUGAAGAAAAAGCAUCGGCUAACUCCGUGCCGGAAGCCGCGGUAAUAGGGAGGAUGCGAGCGUUAUCCGGAUUUAUUGGGUUUAAAGGGUGCGUAGUGGGAAUGCAAAGUCAGCGGUAAAGUCGGGGGGCUCAACCUCGAUCCGCCGUUGAAACUGGCGGUCUUGAGUGGGCGAGAGGUAUGCGGAAUGCGUGGUGUAGCGGUGAAAUGCAUAGAUAUCACGCAGAACUCCGAUUGCGAAGGCAGCAUACCGGCGCCCAACUGACGCUGAUGCACGAAAGCGUGGGUAUCGAACAGGAUUAGAUACCCGUGUAGUC
rnacentral:rRNA from 1 species